rnacentral:rRNA from 1 species
AACGAACGCUGGCGGCAUGCCUAACACAUGCAAGUCGAACGAGACCUUCGGGCCUAGUGGCGCACGGGUGCGUAACGCGUGGGAACCUGCCCUUAGGUUCGGAAUAACUCCCCGAAAGGGGUGCUAAUACCGGAUAAUGUCUUCGGACCAAAGAUUUAUCGCCUUUGGAUGGGCCCGCGUUGGAUUAGCUAGUUGGUAGGGUAAAAGCCUACCAAGGCGACGAUCCAUAGCUGGUCUGAGAGGAUGAUCAGCCACACUGGGACUGAGACACGGCCCAGACUCCUACGGGAGGCAGCAGUGGAGAAUAUUGGACGAUGGGCGAAAGCCUGAUCCAGCAAUGCCGCGUGAGUGAUGAAGGCCUUAGGGUUGUAAAGCUCUUUUACCCGGGAUGAUAAUGACGGUACCGGGAGAAUAAGCACCGGCUAACUACGUG